CAUCAUUCCAAAGAACACAGUUCCACUGCUUCACAACUCAAUACUAGGGGCUUUAUACCCCCUAUAUGUAGUGUUUUAGUAUCAUAAACAAGAGGUCUCUGUCUCGUCUCAGAUUCAACCUUGUUUGGUAUCGAUCUUGUCUCAGUUUCUGGGUGAGGUGGACUUAAAGACUGUGGACGGGACCGGCUGAGAUAAGUAAAGAUUUGUGCUAGAUGUGGAGCACUGCUGUGAGAGUUUUAAUGAGAAGCAGCCGGUUAAAGUGCUGGAGGGAGCUUUCCAUAAGGAGCCAGAGUUCUAUAGCAUGGUGAGGAAAACAGUGCCACCCACUGCAUCAUACCAACUGUAUACAUUAAAUGAAAGCUUGUGAGAGAUUAAAUCCUUACAAAGACAUGGGAAUUUGCAGGUGAACAUAACUAAGAAACUAGACACAUAAACAAUAAUUAAGAUGUAAUUGAUGACUUUGUGACAUCGGUACAAAAAAAUAAACGGGGUAAAAAUGGAAAUUUAAGAAAAAUA
rnacentral:lncRNA from 1 species